UCCACAUAACUAACACAGGAGAAGGGUUGGGUACCAAAACCUGGUGCUAAUACAGCACCGGUGCCUAAACGGACGGUAUCUACCGGACCAAAUCCCAAAGCAGAUUUCGGUGCCUCAUUUGGGGGCCAGAUCAAUAC